rnacentral:rRNA from 1 species
UACGGAGGGUGCGAGCGUUGUCCGGAAUCACUGGGCGUAAAGGGCGCGUAGGUGGCCUGUGGAAGUCUGCGGUGAAAGCCCGGCGCUCAACGCCGGGUCGGCCGUGGAUACUCUCGGGCUCGAGCUUACUAGAGGCAGAUGGAAUUCCGGGUGUAGCGGUGGAAUGCGUAGAGAUCCGGAAGAACACCAGUGGCGAAGGCGGCCCGCUGGGCAGUGGCUGACGCUGAGGCGCGACAGCGUGGGGAGCAAACAGG